rnacentral:rRNA from 1 species
UACGUAGGGGGCAAGCGUUGUCCGGAAUUAUUGGGCGUAAAGAGCGCGUAGGCGGUCCGGUAAGUCGGCUGUGAAAGUCAAGGGCUCAACCCUUGAAAGCCGGCCGAUACUGUCGGACUAGAGUCCGGAAGAGGCGAGUGGAAUUCCCGGUGUAGCGGUGAAAUGCGCAGAUAUCAGGAAGAAUAUCCGUGGCGAAGGCGGCUCUCUGAUACGGCACUGACGCUGAGACGCGAAAGCGUGGGGAGCGAACAGG